rfam:Clostridium sp. CAG:590 genomic scaffold, scf88
ACAGUACAAACUGAGCAGACCAUUGGCAUAUGCCAAGGGAGUCGGGCCUUGAAGGCAGUGGAAUUCUUUACAUCCACGGGACAGUA